UGUAAUAUAGACUAACGGAAAGUCAUUAGGCUCAUAAUCUAAAGAUACGGGUUCAAGUCCUGUUAUUACGA
rnacentral:tRNA from 1 species